AGCGAACGCUGGCGGCAGGCCUAACACAUGCAAGUCGAACGAACUCUUCGGAGUUAGUGGCGGACGGGUGAGUAACACGUGGGAACGUGCCUUUUGGUUCGGAAUAACUCAGGGAAACUUGUGCUAAUACCGAAUGUGCCCUUCGGGGGAAAGAUUUAUCGCCAUUAGAGCGGCCCGCGUCUGAUUAGCUAGUUGGUGAGGUAACGGCUCACCAAGGCGACGAGCAGUAGCGGGUCUGAGAGGAUGAACAGACACACUGGGACUGAGACACGGCCCAGACCCCUACGGGAGGCCGCAGUGGGGAAUCUUGCGCAAUGGGCGAAAGCCUGACGCCGCCAUGCCGCGUGAAUGAUGAAGGUCUUAGGAUUGUAAAAUUCUUUCACCGGGGACGAUAAUGACGGUACCCGGAGAAGAAGCCCCGGCUAACUUCGUG
rnacentral:rRNA from 1 species